UACGUAGGGCGCAAGCGUUGUCCGGAAUUAUUGGGCGUAAAGAGCUUGUAGGUGGUUUGUCGCGUCUGCUGUGAAAAUCCGAGGCUCAACCUCGGACUUGCAGUGGGUACGGGCAGACUAGAGUGUGGUAGGGGAGACUGGAAUUCCUGGUGUAGCGGUGGAAUGCGCAGAUAUCAGGAGGAACACCGAUGGCGAAGGCAGCUCGCUGGGACGGUACUGACGCUGAGACGCGAAAGCGUGGGGAGCAAACAGG
rnacentral:rRNA from 1 species